rnacentral:rRNA from 1 species
UGGGGAAUUUUGGACAAUGGGGGCAACCCUGAUCCAGCCAUUCCGCGUGAGUGAAGAAGGCCUUCGGGUUGUAAAGCUCUUUUGUCCGGAACGAAACGGUUAGCGUGAAUAUCGCUGACUACUGACGGUACCGGAAGAAUAAGCACCGGCUAACUACGUGCCAGCAGCCGCGGUAAUACGUAGGGUGCAAGCGUUAAUCGGAAUUACUGGGCGUAAAGCGUGCGCAGGCGGUUUUGUAAGACAGGCGUGAAAUCCCCGGGCUCAACCUGGGAAUUGCGCUUGUGACUGCAAGGCUGGAGUGCGGCAGAGGGGGAUGGAAUUCCGCGUGUAGCAGUGAAAUGCGUAGAUAUGCGGAGGAACACCGAUGGCGAAGGCAAUCCCCUGGGCCUGCACUGACGCUCAUGCACGAAAGCGUGGGGAGCAAAC